GGCGCUAUAGCCAAGUGGUUACGGCGACAGAUUAGAACUCAGUGGGAACGAUGUUCCAAAUACGGUUAUCUGUUCUCCUUUGGAGGCGCAGGUUCGAAUCCUGCUGGCGUCG
rfam:Laetiporus sulphureus 93-53 unplaced genomic scaffold LAESTscaffold_1, whole genome shotgun sequence.